rnacentral:lncRNA from 1 species
GUGGGCACGUUGUCGUCCAGAGAGCAAGAGCGUCGCUCCCCCUCGCCUUCUCGGCCGCCCUCCCGGUUUACCGCCCCCUGUGUCCAGAGUAAGAAAAGGCUAGGGUUGCGCUUCCCUCCCAAGUUGACUAGGGGUGGGCGCGAGUAAAAUCAUGACAUAUUCGAAUUCCAGUGGACAUUAGAUAUUCUUUGAGAGACGGCAGGUACUUGAGUAAACAAGAAAUGCCCACCAUAGGCCUGAAGGAGAAGUUUCCCUUUUAACCUACUCUCUUGGAUCACAGAUGGAGAGACAUUUUGCCACACGAUGAAUCACACACCACAUCUCAUCCCCGAGCUUCAGCUGCAGGACAAUGCUGCCAGAGGCCUGGUCCUCAGAGCUCACGUAAGCAUCUCUGGUGUGCAGUAUUUUUACUCCGUUUUUGACCAAAGACACCUGAACAUUCCUGGAGAAAACAGUGAUGUGGAUCUUAUCAAAUUUAAUGGGCACAUCUGAAGAAGGAAACUUGCUCAGCACCGUGAGCCCCACAGUGAAAGCACUUUUUGGCAAGACUAGAGU